rnacentral:rRNA from 1 species
AGGAUCAACGCUGGCGGCGUGCCUAAUGCAUGCAAGUCGAACGGGGUCGCCUUCGGGCGGUUCACGUGGCGGACGGGUGAGGAACACGUGGGCGAUCUGCCCUGAGGUGGGGGAUAGCUACCAGAAAUGGUGGGUAAGACCGCAUGAGCUCGAUGGUUUACGGACCAUUGAGGAAAACGUUCUUCGGAACGUGCCUUAGGAGGAGCCUGCGGCGGAUUAGCUAGUUGGUGGGUAACGCCUACCAAGGCGAUGAUCCGUAGCUGGUCUGAGAGGAUGGCCAGCCACGAGGGGAACUGAGACACGGUCCCCACGUCCGUACGGGAGGCAGACAGACGAAGGAACUUUCCGACAAGUGGGACGAAAGCCUGACGGAGCAACGCCGCGGUGGGGAUGACGUCGUUUCGGAGUUCGUAACCC